rnacentral:rRNA from 1 species
UAGUCCACGCCGUAAACGAUGAUUACUCGCUGUAGGCGAUACACAGUCUGUGGCUAAGCGAAAGUUUUAAGUAAUCCACCUGGGGAGUACGAUCGCAAGAUUGAAACUCAAAGGAAUUGACGGGGGCCCGCACAAGCGGAGGAACAUGUGGUUUAAUUCGAUGAUACGCGAGGAACCUUACCUGGACUUAAAUGUAGAUUGCAUAGCUUAGAGAUAGGCUUUUCUUCGGACUAUUUACAAGGUGCUGCAUGGUUGUCGUCAGCUCGUGCCGUGAGGUGUCGGGUUAAGUCCCAUAACGAGCGCAACCCCUAUCCUUAGUUGCCAGCGGGUCAUGCCGGGGACUCUGAGGAGACUGCCACCGUAAGGUGUGAGGAAGGUGGGGACGACGUCAAAUCAUCAUGGCCUUUAUGCCUAGGGCUACACACGUGCUACAAUGGUGCAUACAGAGGGUAGCGAAGCAGUGAUGUGGAGCCAAUCUCAGAAAGUGCAUCCCAGUUC